rnacentral:rRNA from 1 species
UACGAAGGGGGCUAGCGUUGCUCGGAAUUACUGGGCGUAAAGGGAGCGUAGGCGGAUAGUUCAGUCAGAGGUGAAAGCCCAGGGCUCAACCUUGGAAUUGCCUUUGAUACUGGCUGUCUUGAGUAUGGGAGAGGUUAGCGGAACUCCGAGUGUAGAGGUGAAAUUCGUAGAUAUUCGGAAGAACACCAGUGGCGAAGGCGGCUAACUGGCCCAUUACUGACGCUGAGGCACGAAAGCGUGGGGAGCAAACAGG